ensembl:lincRNA
GCCCUUUCUGCUGUGAAGAAGUUUGCCGAAGAGCUGUAACCCUGCACUCUGCUAUGUAAACCACCUACAGAAAUGGCAGAGGACAAGAUGAACAUACUCUGGGUGCCUACUGAGUUAUCAAGAGCUUGGACUUUGGGAACCUCAGACUGUCUUCUUUGGCCUGUUUGCAGUUCAUCCCAGCUGGCUAUUCUGCAGAGAAGCACAUGCUCAUUGUGCGAAAGUUACUUCUGCCGAGAUGUGAAGAAAUGAUCAGCUAGUCUUAGGGUGAAAAGGAAUGACGUUUUGAUUCACAUGAGAACCAGUGACCAUGUUUAUCCACAUUGAACUCCAAGAGGAAGAAAAGACAAUGUCAUAUUUUUGACAGGGGAAGACUUCUGCAAGACUCUUGCCUCUUCUGGAGGACAACUGCUUCCCUCCCUUCCCUCUUCCUGAUGCCUGUGCAUUAAAUUGCAUUAGACCAAUAUGAGUCAGGCACUUGGUGCUCCUCCUUUGAAUGGCCACUGACCUUUGCUCUGUCUGCUCAUGCCAAAAAUAAAAUGCAUAGUUUCCACUGGAUUGAUCUGGUGCCUGGUUAAAGUUGGCUGGUUGGUUGGAUAUCAUAUAGUAAUAUUCUGCAUUGUAGCUCAUAGCAUUUUUGAAGAUGCUGUAUAGCUAUUGUUUUUUUUUUUCUUUUGGGCAUAAUCACUCAGAAAAGAGUUAUGGAGUAGUUAUGGGUUCCAUUUAGAAUUGAUUCCAAGUGCACAGGUACAUCCUCUAAAGAUGGACUGAGAUCUCUGAUUGAUGUGUUGCAAGACAGAGUGAAAAACUUACCUCUUAUUACAAUUCCUAAAAAUUCUGUAACUUUUCCAACAUGGUUCCCUGUACUGCUGGGCUGAUUAAAAAGCCCUGUGAGGCCAUGUGUGUGUUUUAAGUGGAUGUAUAGUAUAAUAAAAACUAAUGGUGAUUCUUGAUGAC